CCCCGCCCCGCUCGCCUGCCUUUCCCCGCCCCGCCGCCUCGCCCACCCCGCCCCGCCAUCCCGCCUCGCCCGUCCCGCUCUCCGUCUUCUCUCCCCUUCCCAGCCGCUCGCCCCGCCGCAUCGCCGCCUCCUCCUCCUGCGGUCGCUCAUCCCUCCUCCUCCACCCAAUCCCUAACCCUAGCAGCUCCCGCCGUCGCCGCCGUCUACUUCGCCCAGCCUGCCAGACCGCCUCCGUCCACUUCCCCAGUGUCGUCGCGGUCGUCCUCACCUGCACACGGCAAGAGGAGCGGCCCCACCCUCUCCUCUCCUCCUUCCCUCAUCACGAGCCAGGACAGGGAGGGCCACCGUGGCCGGGCAGGUCAGGCGGCGCGUCCAGAUCACCGAGGAGCCGCCCGCAAGGUCGGCCAUGGCGCAACCGAGCAGAGCAGGUGAGGAGGGAGACGCCGGUUCCUCUUUCCCGCUGCUUGCUUCGUCGCCGGCGCGGCUCCGAUGGACUCUCGUGGCUCCUCUCUGUCUCCUUCCUCGCCCCCACACGCGGCUCCACUUCCCGCUGGCCAUGGGGCUGGCCGGCAGCAGCGCCUCCCUCCCUGCCGCUGCCAGUCCCGGCGCCGCCGACGGGUCCAUAGGCAGGCGUCGUUCUUGGUGGUUGAGCCGCUGAUGCAGAAGAUUCAUGGAGAGAUUUGUUGGGUGGACGCCGACAUCCUUGCCGUCGUCCGGUUGCAGGGUAGUUCUUACAAAAAGAGGCAAGCUGAAGAGGAAGGUUGCAAGAAGGAGAGCAACUGUGCAUUGUUAUGAUUGCCUCUUCCUCCUGUUGCUAAGUGUCACAAGCAAAAGGACCAAGUGCGGGCGGGUGAGCAUCAGGAGUCCAGUUGAUUGGCUUCGACCUUUGAGUUAUUGCUGGCUAGCAGUGCCACUUCUGAGCGUCUCCUCACCCCUCACNNNNNNNNNNNNNNNNNNNGUGGCACUUUUGCUUGUGUCUUGUUAUCUUUUCGAAAUGGUGAAGCUGACAAUGAUAGCCUGUAUCACUGAUGGCCUUUCAUUAGCGGAGUGCUUAGAUGGUGGUUAUGUUAAGGAUGUUGUCUUCUACAAGCAGCAAGCAAAAUUGUUGUUCAAAAACAUAUAUAAAGGCCAACAUGAAUCAUCAAGACUGUCAACUGAGACUGGACCACACCAUUCCAGGUUAAGGGGCGUAUGGCGGUGAGGAAGCGGCGGCGCGCGCCUACAACCUGGCGGCAUUGAAGUACUGGGGCCAUGACACCAUCCUCGACUUCCUGCUGUCUAGCUACGACCAAGAGUUGAAGGAAAUGGAGGAGCAAUCCAGGGAAGAGUACAUUGGUUCGCUCCGGAGGUAAGCGCCGCCAUAAACGCCAACGUGCCAAAAAGACAAGGGGCCGAGCUCCAUGUAGCGAACCAUGUCUUUGUGAGAGGACCGUAAUAAGAGGUAGCAUGCUGGCCUUAUGCCAUUGUUCAAUACUUUGCAUAUUAAAUGAACUCUUACACCAUUUUUUAAUAGAUUGUUCUUCGCAUGUUAAACUCCACUCUUACGCAUAGGACCAAUAUGCUGCAAACUAUGGGGCAAACCAUCGCUCACUAUCAACAAGCGGUCAAUUAAAAGAACAUAAUCGUAUUAUCCAUGAUUUUUUUCUAUGGCUUGAUUGGUUAAACUAAAAACUCACAGCAGGUUCAUGUGACGUGCCAUGUGAGAAGUUGAACGACAAGACAGUCAAGUGAAGUUAUCAAAUAGUAUGCUUUAGUUGAACUGUAUAGGUUCCUUAUCUCUCACUGGCGCUCUGGCUUGAUUUUGUUGUCUAACUCUACUCUCUGUAUCUAACUUAAUUUGAAUUGAUCGUCCUGCCUUAGCUUUGGAACAAAGAAAUGUUUCCCUUUUAUUAUGAGCCUCCAGGUCAUUUGUUCUACUGAUUAAAUAUUUCCUACUCACCUUGCUUUUGGUAUACCCAACAUUGUUCUUGAUUUACUUUUGGAACAAAAUAUAUAUUCAUGAGCUUCCAUAUCAACUGUUCUACU
rnacentral:rRNA from 1 species